rnacentral:rRNA from 1 species
GACGAACGCUGGCGGCGUGCUUAACACAUGCAAGUCGAACGGUGAAGCUCCAGCUUGCUGGAGUGGAUCAGUGGCGAACGGGUGAGUAACACGUGAGCAACCUGCCCCUGACUCUGGAAUAAGCGCUGGAAACGGCGUCUAAUACUGGAUACGAGAAGGGUCCGCAUGGGCACUUUCUGGAAAGUUUUUCGGUUGGGGAUGGGCUCGCGGCCUAUCAGCUUGUUGGUGAGGUAAUGGCUAACCAAGGCGACGACGGGUAGCCGGCCUGAGAGGGCGAACGGCCACAAUGGGACUGAGAGACGGACCAGACUCCUACGGGAGGCAGCAGUGGGGAAUAUUGCACAAUGGGCGAGAGCCUGAUGCAGCGACGCCGCGAGAGGGAUGACGGCCUUCGGGGUGUAAACCUCUUUCAGCAGGGAAGAAGCGAAAGUGACGUUACCUGCAGAAGAAGCACCGGCUAACUACGUG